rnacentral:lncRNA from 1 species
CAGGAAUGGAGUGGGUUUUCUUCCUCCUUCCAGCCUGCCCUGGUGCGCCCUCCAUGUCCCUGCUGCCCAGCUUCUUGGCACCAAGCCCCGGCAUCUUGUUAUCACAGGCGCUGUGCUGUCUGUCACCUUUUAUUACAAAACCUUCUGAAAUUCUCCAAAUCGUCUCGCCGGUUAUCGUGUUCAACCACAGUGUGCUUGCAGGAGCCUCGAGCUGGAACCACAAGGCAGCCACAGUGCGUCGGGGACUUCUGUUCUGUGCCCAGGAGGGCCCCCCUCCUUUCUCCUCCCCACUAGCCGCUGGGCUCCUAACUCCAGGUAGCAACCACUCUAUAGCCCCGUCUGGCUCCUUUCCCAAGGAAGAGCAGUAUCCCACCAUUGUCCAGGAGCAGGGCAGCGUCUGUGAACAGGGUCUCACACUGUGUCCCAGACUGGUCUGAAACUAUCUAUGUGUAGCCCAGGCAGAAGUGGCAUACGCAGCAAUUCUCCUGUCUCAGUGUCCUGGCUGCUGAGCUUGCAGGCUGACAUUUUGAUGCAGGAUCUCCCAGUGACCAAUCAGGCUAGACUGACCGGCAAGCAAGCUCUCUGGUGCCUGGAUUAUGUGCCUGGAUUAUGAACGCUCAUUACCACACCUCGCUUUGGUUUCAUGAAGGUUCUGGGGUCACACUCACCCCCACUGCACAGCCACCAUCAGCUGUGUCCUCUGGACAUUCUGACAGGUUGUUAGAACUGUUUCUGAGAAAAUAUGAUUCCCCACCCCAGCUUCAGCAUGGAUCCGGGCACCCCUGACAUUCAGUGGCACUCACUUCUGCUAAUAGGGAUCUUAGAGAUGAUCUUGGAGACGGAAGGCAUCAGUCCAAAAUGGCCACACAGCAAAUACAAACGGUGAGCCAGACAACUUGUCUCGGUGACACCUGAAUCAAGGCAGGGACCUUGUGUCACAAAGGGAGCAGCAGCCAUAAAUAUCCACAGUGGUGUGAAAUACCAGAAUGCUCUCCACAGCCCAUGAAAUGGACAUAAAUGUUUACUUCACACUAUAAUUAUGAAGAGGGGCCAUGGAUCGCCAUAAAACCCUAAAGAUUGAUGCUAAACCAACCACCUCCUUAGUAUCAUAAAUUCUGCCUGCGGUUAUAUGCAGUAUUUAAUAAACAUUAAUGAAAAUUUUGUUUAUAACACAUUUUUUUUUAAAAAAAUGGGGCUGGUGAGAUGGCUCAGUGAGUAAGAGCACCCGACUGCUCUUCCGAAGGUCCGGAGUUCAAAUCCCAGCAACCAC